UGACAUAUGAAUGUCAAUCGCAGAAAAAAUUAGAAUGAUACAAAAAAGAUUUGUAUGGUCUCUGCACGAAGAUGACUCAGACAAAUCGAGAAAUGGUCCAAGUUUUC
rfam:Solanum lycopersicum cultivar Heinz 1706 chromosome 8, whole genome shotgun sequence.